GAUAGUCGCCGUUGCUUCGAAGGUGUUCACGAUGGUGGGGACCCCGUAUUCACGCCCUAUGAUAGCCGCGUGGGAGAGUGUCCCGCCCCUGUCUGUGAUGACGGCACCGACAAUACCGAACACGGGCGUCCAUGCCGGGUUCGUCCCGGGACAGAUAAGGAUAUCCCCCGGCUGAACGUGCUUCAGGUCUUCGUAGUUGAUGACGACCCGGGCCGUCCCUUCCGCCUCGCCUGCGCAGCCGCAGAUACCGAACAUGUCCGCUUCCAGUUCCGGCUUGACUACAGGCAUUUCACCCACCACAAUCUUUAGGGCGAUGGCAUCCAUCGAAGGAAUCAAGUCUUCCCCGACGGCCUCUUCGAGCCCCGACCGG
rnacentral:rRNA from 1 species